rnacentral:rRNA from 1 species
AUUGAACGCUGGCGGCAUGCCUUACACAUGCGAGUCGAACGGUAACGGGCCUUCGGGUGCCGACGAGUGGCGAACGGGUGAGUAAUACAUCGGAACGUGCCCGAUCGUGGGGGAUAACGAGGCGAAAGCUUUGCUAAUACCGCAUACGAUCUACGGAUGAAAGCAGGGGACCGCAAGGCCUUGCGCGGACGGAGCGGCCGAUGGCAGAUUAGGUAGUUGGUGGGAUAAAAGCUUACCAAGCCGACGAUCUGUAGCUGGUCUGAGAGGAUGAUCAGCCACACUGGGACUGAGACACGGCCCAGACUCCUACGGGAGGCAGCAGUGGGGAAUUUUGGACAAUGGGCGCAAGCCUGAUCCAGCCAUGCCGCGUGCAGGAUGAAGGCCUUCGGGCUGUAAACUGCUUUUGUACGGAACGAAAAGCCUUCUUUUAAUACAGGAGGGUCAUGACGGUACCGUAAGAAUAAGCACCGGCUAACUACGUG